CGUGAGCAAUCUGCCUUUGGGUGGGGGAUAACAGCCGGAAACGACUGCUAAUACCGCAUGAUGCAGCGGGGUCGCAUGAUUUUGCUGCCAAAGAUUUAUCGUCCAAAGAUGAGCUCGCGUCUGAUUAGCCAGUUGGCGGGGUAACGGCCCACCAAAGCGACGAUCAGUAGCCGGACUGAGAGGUUGAACGGCCACAUUGGGACUGAGACACGGCCCAGACUCCUACGGAAGGCAGCAG
rnacentral:rRNA from 1 species